AGCUUUGCGCAGUGGCAGUAUUGUAGCCAAUGAGGUUUAUCCGAGGUGCGAUUAUUGCUAAUUGAAACCUUUUCCCAAUACCCUGCCAUGACGACUUGAAAUAUAGUUGGCAUUAGAAAUUUUUGACAGUCUCUACAGAGC
rnacentral:snRNA from 1 species